rnacentral:rRNA from 1 species
CACGUAGGGGACGAGCGUUGUCCGGAUUCAUUGGGCGUAAAGCGCGCGUAGGCGGCCCGGAAAGUCGGAUGUGAAAACCUGGGGCUCAACCCCAGGCGUGCACCCGAUACUCCCGGGCUGGAGGCAGGUAGGGGAGAUCGGAAUUCCUGGUGUAGCGGUGAAAUGCGCAGAUAUCAGGAAGAACACCCGUGGCGAAAGCGGCUCUCUGGAACGGUACUGACGCUGAGACGCGAAAGCGUGGGGAGCGAACAGG